rnacentral:tmRNA from 15 species
CCCGCUCCACCACUUCAACAUCUAAAGACGUCCACGGACGUCUUUUUUUGUGCCUGAAAUCCAGUAAAUACAGGGCCUUGGUGUCUAUUAGCGUCCACACCCUGCCCUUCGGGUCGCUGAGGGUUAACUUAAUAGAAACGGCUACGCAUGUAGUACCGACAGCGGAGUACUGGCGGACGGGGGUUCAAAUCCCCCCGCUCCACCA